rnacentral:rRNA from 1 species
UACGUAGGUCCCGAGCGUUGUCCGGAUUUAUUGGGCGUAAAGCGAGCGCAGGUGGUUUAUUAAGUCUGGUGUAAAAGGCAGUGGCUCAACCAUUGUAUGCAUUGGAAACUGGUAGACUUGAGUGCAGGAGAGGAGAGUGGAAUUCCAUGUGUAGCGGUGAAAUGCGUAGAUAUAUGGAGGAACACCGGUGGGGAAAGCGGCUCUCUGGCCUGUAACUGACACUGAGGCUCGAAAGCGUGGGGAGCAAACAGG